rnacentral:rRNA from 1 species
AUUGAACGCUGGCGGCAGGCCUAACACAUGCAAGUCGAGCGGAUGAAGGGAGCUUGCUCCUGGAUUCAGCGGCGGACGGGUGAGUAAUGCCUAGGAAUCUGCCUGGUAGUGGGGGAUAACGUCCGGAAACGGGCGCUAAUACCGCAUACGUCCUGAGGGAGAAAGUGGGGGAUCUUCGGACCUCACGCUAUCAGAUGAGCCUAGGUCGGAUUAGCUAGUUGGUGGGGUAAAGGCCUACCAAGGCGACGAUCCGUAACUGGUCUGAGAGGAUGAUCAGUCACACUGGAACUGAGACACGGUCCAGACGCCUACGGGAGGCAGCAGUGGGGAAUAUUGGACGAUGGGCGAAAGCCUGAUCCAGCCAUGCCGCGUGUGUGAAGAAGGUCUUCGGAUUGUAAAGCACUUUAAGUUGGGAGGAAGGGCAGUAAGUUAAUACCUUGCUGUUUUGACGUUACCAACAGAAUAAGCACCGGCUAACUUCGUG